CAGCCAGUGCCUGUUGGGCAGAAAUAGAGAAGGGUCAAGGUGGAAAAGAGACAGACAGGGCAGCUUCCAGGUGCUGGGGUCGGUGCUGGACAUAUCAUGGGAGUCAGAUCUCGAGUGAUACUCAUAACAAACCUGAGACGGAAACGGACUGUCAAGUUACACGGUGGAAUCCAAGGAUAGAGGGCGAGAAACAUGCCCAGGAUCGCGCGGUCCCACAGCUGGUAAGCAGUAGGGCUGGGAUUCAAACCCAGACUGACCUCAGCACCCACCCAUUCUUCAUAUUCAUUCAUUCAUUCAUUCAUUCAUUCAUUCAUUCAUUCAUUCAUCAUAUUCUCUCUCUCAUCUGCAACAUGGCGGGAGAAAAAGGAAGAGAGACCAAAAGACAGCCACAGACCAGAGGCAGAGGUAGAAAACAAGCCACACCAGAUCUGAAUGACAGCUGAGGUACAGCCAAGCAUUAAGGAAAAAACGCUGAGCAAAAGGAGCCAAGAGCAGAGAAAGUUCCAUGUACCUUGAGAGUAAACAAAAAUGAAAAGUG